CGGACCGCGCAGCCAGCCCUUACCUUGCAGCGGCCGGCUGUCCCCCGCUCGCUAAAGCUACUUAUCCCGGGAAAGCUCGCGCGGGGCCCGGGAGCGAACCCACAGACAAAAAGUGAAACUUCGGCAAGGCUGGAGCGGCUGCUGGUUGGUGCCUUUCCCCCUCCUUCCUCCCGCCGUCCCCACCCCCUCCCCUCGGUCUCCCGUGCGGUGCCCUGAGAGCUGGAGGCUGACGUCAGGGGCCUGAAUUCCUGACUUUGCCUGCACGCAUUUGUCCAUGUAAGCAAGGUUCAAACGUCCUGGAUGUCGGAACUGGCCCCGACCAACUUCCAGCCCGUCCACUUCACACGGGAAAUCUGAAGCUCUCGGAAGAGAAACGACUCGUACAAGGUCAUGCCCGCCACAGAUCCCGGCGCGGGAGCCGGAUGCUCAGUCUCCCAGCUAUGUUCCUGUCUGCAGGCAGGGGCCCGACUCCCUCCUUCCUGCGGACCAGUCAGCGGGGCUGGACGUCUGACGGCAACGCGGACCACCCUGGGAAGAGAUUCGGCGCUUCCCCGGGGCCCCUACGCGGUCCGUUCCUGGAAGGUUCUGAUUGCCAGUGAACCCUGCAUAGCCAUGCUGAUCAGUUACUUCAAGGCAACUCCCUCCAUCCAGUGCUCAAAUAAACGAACCCCUGGAAUUUACUUCACAGCCCUAUCCAGAACCCCAGACCUUGUGCUUAUAGCUUCAAAAAAUAAAUAAAUCUACGAACUGGGUGAAUUAGUUGAAUAAAGGCAAGACUGUUCUUGGAA